UUCUCGAAAUGAUCCUGGGUCUGGUAUGAUUUUCGUUGAGUUACAUCAUGGCUGUUGGAGGCUUAUUGAUUCUGAAGAGGGUCAAGUAUUGGAGUUACAGUUGCAUAUGGUGUUACUGAUUCUCUUAGAAAAGCUAAUGAAAUAAUUUCAGAGGUGAUUUACUCUGAUGAGGAUUGAAAGUUCGACAAAGAUAUUACUAUUGGCCUAAUUUGCAGUGAACUACUAAACCUUGCUGAGUACAAUGUUCAUAUGGCUAAGCUGCUUGAUGGAGGAAGGAAUAGUACGUAUAAGUAAUAUUGCUCUACACGAGUAAUCCCUGAAGUAACAUAACUAACUAGUUGGCAUAUAAUGUGCAGAGGCUGCGACUGAGUUUGCCAU